UGAUCCUUGCUCAGAACGAACGCUGGCGGCAGGCUUAACACAUGCAAGUCGAGCGCCCCGCAAGGGGAGCGGCAGACGGGUGAGUAACGCGUGGGAAUCUACCCAUCUCUACGGAACAACUCCGGGAAACUGGAGCUAAUACCGUAUACGUCCUUAUGGAGAAAGAUUUAUCGGAGAUGGAUGAGCCCGCGUUGGAUUAGCUAGUUGGUGGGGUAAUGGCCUACCAAGGCGACGAUCCAUACCUGGUCUGAGAGGAUGAUCAGCCACACUGGCGAUGAUACACGGUCCAGACUCCUACGGGAGGCAGCAGCGGGGAAUAUUGGACAUGGGCGCAAGCCUGAUCCACCCAUGCC
rnacentral:rRNA from 1 species